UUGAAAAAGUGUUAGGUUGACAGCCUCUAUUUAUCCACAGAACAGGUUUUCAUAGGCAGCUGCAGUGCAAACUUCCCCAAAUUGCCUGACCAGUGUGGCCCAGUCUUGACCUCAAAUGAAUCACCUCACAUUUUCAGCACAGUUUAAUUUCCCUUUUCAUUCAUUCCUUGGGAUCU
rnacentral:sRNA from 1 species